UACAGAGGUGGCAAGCGUUGUUCGGAAUUACUGGGCGUAAAGGGCGCGUAGGCGGCCCUGUAAGUCCGCUGUGAAAGUCAAGGGCUCAACCCUUGGAUGCCGGUGGAUACUGCAGGGCUAGAGUCCGGAAGAGGCGAGUGGAAUUCCUGGUGUAGCGGUGAAAUGCGUAGAUAUUGGGAGGAACACCAGUGGCGAAGGCGGCUCACUGGACCGGAACUGACGCUGAGGCGCGAAAGCGUGGGGAGCAAACAGG
rnacentral:rRNA from 1 species